GGCCCGCGGCGCAUUAGCUAGUUGGUGAGGUAACGGCUCACCAAGGCAACGAUGCGUAGCCGACCUGAGAGGGUGAUCGGCCACACUGGGACUGAGACACGGCCCAGACUCCUACGGGAGGCAGCAGUAGGGAAUCUUCCGCAAUGGACGAAAGUCUGACGGAGCAACGCCGCGUGAGCGAUGAAGGCCUUCGGGUCGUAAAGCUCUGUUGUUAGGGAAGAACAAGUAUCGGAGUAACUGCCGGUACCUUGACGGUACCUAACCAGAAAGCCACGGCUAACUACGUGCCAGCAGCCGCGGUAAUACGUAGGUGGCAAGCGUUGUCCGGAAUUAUUGGGCGUAAAGCGCGCGCAGGUGGUUCCUUAAGUCUGAUGUGAAAGCCCACGGCUCAACCGUGGAG
rnacentral:rRNA from 2 species